ACAUGAUUUGCUGCCAUCAACAAAUCCCGUCAGAUAGUAGCCAAAAAGGAGUGCAUUAAAUUGUGCGCGUCAUGACGGAUAAUUCAAAGGAGUUAAUUUAAGAGGCAAUUGAGCUGUUGCAUUAAUAGAGAUAAGAUUAGUUCUUGUAUUUUGUGGUAGAGAGGUGGAGGCUAUGUGAGGAGGACUAUUAUUUAUAGGAUUCUCUUUUUCCAUAGCAGAGCAUGUUGCCAGUUAGGCUUGUGGCUCUGUACCAUAUAACAAAGGUAUUGGGUUAAAAGAUUUCACACUUUAUUA
rnacentral:lncRNA from 1 species